GAGGAGAUCAUGUAAUACAUGUUAGAAGGACACUUCAAGUUAAACACAUCAUCUGGUUAGACACAGAGUCAAUUUCACACAGGUGCUUUGAUAAAUGAAUUCUUCUGAUAGUUCUUAGUUGCUGAACAGUCAUAUAGCCACACACUUCUCUCUUCUGCUGAAAAAUGAGUUACAGCAAUGGGAAAGGCAUCUUCCCCUCCCACUGCAUUUUCAGGGAUGGACCUCCCAGCUCUCCACUUGUUGGACUACCAAGCUCUGGGGCAAUAACUUUAGGGAUGGAUGGAUGGAAAGUUGUAAGAGAGUCUCAGCUGGAGUGCCAAGAGACACUAAAUACUAUCACAUGAAAGCGAAGCAGUUUGUGACUUCAUGGUUCGCCACCACGCAUCCACCUUCAAGUAUCUCCACUCUUAGUAAAGAAACUGUAAUAACAUAAACAGCAACUCCUGUGUAAUUUAUUUGUAAGUAAGAGAUACAAAAUCAAGGAAUAAAUUUGAUGCUGCAAAGAAAUUGCAUUUACUUCUAUUCUUACAGUACAAAAAUAAUAAAGAUUGAAGUUGUC
ensembl:lncRNA